GCAGGACCCAACGAGAAGCUGUGCACAGCCCCAGCCACGUCCUCUGGAACGAAGGCCCCGCUCCCCGGAGUGCGGCAGGGCAGGAGGCAGAUGGGGCGUCCCUCCAGAUCUAGCACGUGGACACAGGGUGCAGCCCCGGCCGUGAGGAAGAGCAGGCCAUCGGGGGAGCAGUGCAGGCCCCGGGGCCCUCCCACAGCCCCUGCGGGCACCCGGAUCCACCCAAGCAGCCGGAGCUGCCGGGAGCCCGUGGAGUCUCCAGGAGAGCUGAUAUGAGCGCGGCCUUGCUGGAUUCAGAGGCUAGAGGAUGUUCAGGGGUCCGUGCCCACCCCCGACACACCAAGACACAGGCCGAGCAGCCCAGUCCACACGCCUCUCCACCCCCGACACACCAAGACACAGGCCGAGCAGCCCAGUCCACACGGCUCUCCUGGCUCAGCUCCCGUCGCCGAUGUCCCGCCCCACCCCCAGACCCCAGCCCCGCGGGGAGGGCCCAGCCCACAGGAGAGGGCCGAGUCUGAAGACAGAGGCCCAGCAGGACUGCUGCCCACCCAGGCCUCCCAGGCCAGGACACUUCCUUAGGGGGGUGUCCAGGUGGCU
rnacentral:lncRNA from 1 species